rnacentral:rRNA from 1 species
AGCGGAGGAAAAGAAACCAACAGGGAUUGCCUUAGUAGCGGCGAGUGAAGCGGCAAAAGCUCAAAUUUGAAAUCUGGCACUUUCAGUGUCCGAGUUGUAAUUUGAAGAAGGUAUCUUUGGGUCUGGCUCUUGUCUAUGUUUCUUGGAACAGAACGUCACAGAGGGUGAGAAUCCCGUGCGAUGAGAUGUCCCAGACCUAUGUAAAGUUCCUUCGAAGAGUCGAGUUGUUUGGGAAUGCAGCUCUAAGUGGGUGGUAAAUUCCAUCUAAAGCUAAAUAUUGGCGAGAGACCGAUAGCGAACAAGUACAGUGAUGGAAAGAUGAAAAGAACUUUGAAAAGAGAGUGAAAAAGUACGUGAAAUUGUUGAAAGGGAAGGGCUUGAGAUCAGACUUGGUAUUUUGUAUGUUACUCUCUCGGGGGUGGCCUCUACAGUUUACCGGGCCAGCAUCAGUUUGAGCGGUAGGAUAAGUGCAAAGAAAUGUGGCACUGCUUCGGUAGUGUGUUAUAGUCUUUGUCGAUACUGCCAGCUUAGACUGAGGACUGCGGCUUCGGCCUAGGAUGUUGGCAUAAUGAUCUUAAGUCGCCCGUCUUGAA